rnacentral:rRNA from 1 species
CGAAAUUCCUUGUCGGGUAAGUUCCGACCCGCACGAAAGGCGUAAUGAUUUGAGCGCUGUCUCGACAAUGCAUCCGGUGAAAUUGAAGUACCAGUGAAGAUGCUGGUUACCUGCGCCAGGACGGAAAGACCCCAUGGAGCUUUACUCCAGUCUGGUACUGGGACUCGGUAUUGCAUGUACAGGAUAGGUGGGAGGCUAGGAGAUGGUAACGCCAGUUGCCAUGGAGCCGCUGUUGGGAUACCACCCUUGCAGUAUUGGGUUUCUAACCAGCCGCCGUGACCCGGCGGUGGGACAAUGCCAGACGGGGAGUUUGACUGGGGCGGUCGCCUCCGAAAGGGUAUCGGAGGCGCCCAAAGGUUCCCUCAGAAUGGACGGAAACCAUUCGAAGAGUGCAAAGGCAGAAGGGAGCUUGACUGCGACACCGACGGGUGGAGCAGGUACGAAAGUAGGGCUUAGUGAUCCGGUGGUAUUAAGUGGGAAUGCCAUCGCUCAACGGAUAAAAGCUACCCUGGGGAUAACAGGCUUAUCACUCCCAAGAGUUCACAUCGACGGAGUGGUUUGGCACCUCGAUGUCGGCUCAUCGCAUCCUGGGGCUGUAGUAGGUCCCAAGGGUUGGGCUGUUCGCCCAUUAAAGCGGUACGCGAGCUGGGUUCAGAACGUCGUGAGACAGUUCGGUCCCUAUCCGGCGUGGGCGUAGGAUAUCUGAGAGGAGCUGUCCUUAGUACGAGAGGACCGGGAUGGACGGGCCGCUGGUGCAUCGGUUAGACUGCCAAGUCUACGGCCGAGUAGCCAAGCCCGGAAGGGAUAAACGCUGAAGGCAUCUAAGCGUGAAGCCCCCCUUAAGAUGAGAUAUCCCAUUCGAAAGAAGUAAACCCCCUUGAAGACGACGAGGUAGAUAGGGCAGAGGUGGAAGUGUGGCAACACAUGGAGCUGACUGUUACUAAUCGGGUGAGGGCUUGACCAA